ACAUGGUUGAAGGAACACUACGGUACACAAAAGUGUAAAAUUCCUAUUUUAACUGCACAAUUCAACAUUAAUUCAUAUUUUUUGCUUAAUAUAUUACUGAAGAAAUGUCUUUAUUAACACGCACUGAUGUAACUGCUGUGAAAAUUCACGAAAAUAUCGUGUUAGCCGGCAUUGGUGACACGAUACAUAUAUUCGAUAAAGAAUCUAGAAAAUUAUUGCAACGAUUAUGUGGCUUACACGGCCAGAAAAUAUACGGUUUUGUACCUGGUCAAUGCGGAGAUAAAAUAUUGGUUUUCGGCGGUAAACAGUUCACUAUAGUUUCUAGAGCAAAUGAGGAGUAUUACAGAGUGUUUGAGCCUACUGUCUGUGGUGACUGGCUACAUUCAGCCAUUUGGAUCAAUGAAAAUGAGGUUGCACUAUUGACAGCUCACAAUGUGGUUCAGAAAUGGGACACUGUCACCAAGAAACUGAUAUCCCAGCAUGCUAGCCGAGACAACUCCAUACUGUACAGUGGGCUGCUGCUCCCGCUGCAGGAUGAUGUGUUGGUGAUGGCCGGCACUGUGUUCUCUGAGGUCAUCAUACAGAGAUGUGGUGAAGAACAGUCCUUGCAUCACUUGAGAGGACAUAAGGGAGUAAUAUUCUCAAUAUCCUGUGACCCAGAAAAGCACAUUAUAGUAACAACAUCUGAUGAUAGAUCUGUAAGAAUAUGGGGUCCAAACACCACACCAGAACACCAGUCCAACACAGCCAAAUACUGGGAGACCAUAGACAUAGUCUGCAAACAUGAGGUCUAUGGCCAUUUAGCAAGGGUCAUGAGAAGUUGCAUCACUAACAAUUUAAUUAUUUCUGUGGGAGAAGACUCUGCUAUAUGUUACUGGAGUCUUGAAGGGAAGCUGUUGAAAAAGACCCUUACUCAUCAGAACGGGUGCAUAUGGUCAGUUGACUCUGAUGGCAGAAGUUUGGUCACUGGUGGUGGUGAUUGUGGGGUGAUCUUGCAUCCCCUAACUGUAGCUACUGACUACUGUCAUGAAGAUAUUAUUGAUAUUGGCGUUGCCACUCCUAAAAAAGUUGUAUUCACUGCUAGAAAGAACUUGAUAGUGUUGGAUGAGAAUAACCUGGUAUAUUAUGAUGUUGUAAGCAAACAAAAUACUGAAUAUAAACUAAAUCAUGAAUCUACAUAUAAGUUGCUGUCUCUUUCCUCUUGUAAGCAAUUAAUAGCUGUAGCAGAUAUGAAAGGUAAACUAGAUGUUUUUGUGGAAAAAUGCAAAGAUGAAGCUUUUAUUUUAAAUGUAAUUGAUACUAAAUUACAAGUAGGAAAGAUUUUAUCAAUGCAGUGGGCUGGGAACAGACACUUAGUUAUCUGUUCUGAUAAUGGUAAUAUAACUGUUCUUGCUUCUAACAAUGCAAUUGUGGAAGACUUUGCAAAAUUUGUUUUACCGAAUUGUAAAGAAAGAUGGCUGACAGCAGCAGCUAUAGAUACUCUAAACAAUAGUUUUGUUGUGGGAGACAGAUGUGGAAAUAUCCAUGUUUUCGUGAAAGGCCAGGAAUCUCCUGUUAAGAGCUUUCCCAAAGUACAUGGAAGAUAUGGGCCUACAUCCAUCCAUGUAAGAAAUACUGAUAUUGUUACUACAGGCAGAGAUGGCACAAUCAAAUACUUUAGUACAAAUAAUAAUACUGUUAAAUAUACGAGAAGCAGAGAUUUACCUUUUGAGUGGGUGGAAAAAUUCCUAGAUAAAGAUGAGAAUGUUAUUUGUGGUUUCCAAGAAAGAGAAUUUGUUGUUUACAAUAUCAAGGAUAAUAGUAAAAUAUUGGAACUGCCGUGUGGAGGUGGACAUAGAUCAUGGGAUGCAGUGAGAUAUAUAGAAAAGGUUGAGGAAAGUUAUGAAGAAUUUAUUAAGUUAAUUUAUUUAAAAAAUGCUGAAAUCAAAGUCACGACUUUCCAACUUAGUAAAAUCAUGUCAAUUAAUUUAGUUAAUGGCUCACAUGCUAAAGAAAUUAAUUGUUUGAAAUCACAUAAGAUUGGUGAUGCUACAGCAUUCAUUUCUGGUGGUGAAGACACAACGCUAAGAAUUUCUAGUGUUGAUGCUGAAAUGAAGUUUAAAGACGAAGUUUGUUUUAAACAUUUAUCAAGCGUUAGAACUCUAAAAACAUAUCCUAAAGACAACAAUAAUUUAUUAGUUGUAUCUGCUGGUGGAAGAGCUCAAAUAUGUAUAAAAGAUGUCAAAUUAACUGCAGGUAUUAACAAAAUCAACAUAGAAACAGAAGAACUAGUAGAUUAUCUAAUAAGAGGUACAGAUAAAGAAAGAAAAGGUAAUCAAACAUGGAGGAAUUGUUCUAUAGACUUCGAUCCUGAGAUGAGAAUCAUGGAUUUAGAUCUGAUAAAAGAUCAAAACGACUUUAUCGUUAUUGCUGGCUGUUCAGACUCAUAUCUCAGACUAUUUUCUUUCAAAGAAGGUAGCAAUAAGCUGGUAUUUGUCAAAGAAUCGAAGUAUCACAAAAUAUGUAUACUGAAAACUAAAUGCAUUAAGUUUCUAAACAAAGUAAUACUAAUAACUUGUACGACUAGAGGCGAUGUUACAUUUUGGGAUGUAACAGACAUUCUACAAUCUUCUCUAGAACCAUUUUUCAGUACAAAAACCAACAAAUCAGGUGUAAACAGUAUUGCAGUAACAAAUAUAUCAGAAAACAAAAUACUUGUGACGACCGGUGGUGACGACAAUGCUAUCCAUAUGAUAGUUGUGGAAAUACCCAACCAGGAUGGCUUGACCUCUGCUAAAGUACUGCAUACUUGGGCCGGUGCGAAGUUCCAUAGCUCACAGAUAACUGGUCUGUGCUUGGUAGAGGACUAUCUGCUGUCCACAUCGAUAGAUAAGAGGAUCACGCUAUUUGGAUGGCGGGUAACUGAUGAGGGGAUAGAAUGCAAAUUCUUGUCUCAGACUUACACGAAUGUGGCUGAUGUACAGGGUAUGGAUCUUUUGGAACAUAAUAGCGAUUCUAUAACAGUAUGCGUGUUCGGGAAAGGCAUGGAAGUGGUAAAGGUACCAAAAGUUGGUAGAUGAACACCACAUACUUAAGAAAAUGGCUGAGAACUGCGUAAGAAGGAUUGGCAGUUUUGUGAGAUGGCGCCAGUUGUAAAGCCAGUGACGGAGCCAGUGUGGCUCGGGGAGGGCCCCCACUGGGACCAUGAUGAGCAGGCCCUGUACUUCGUCAGCAU
rnacentral:misc_RNA from 1 species